AUGUGCAUGGCAAUAAUCGUGUGGAGUACGACAGGUUGUUGCGUGAAGCCCGCCGGGAGAUCGACGCGAAGGUCCAACACGAACGUGAUGAGAUGGACAGGGAACUCAAAUAAGAACGUGCGUAUGUCGGUAGGAUGCUUAAGGAUGAGCGUGCUGACAUGUCUCAAAAGAUUAAGCAGAUGCGUGAAGAGAUGGAAAAAAAGUUAA
rnacentral:rRNA from 1 species